rnacentral:tmRNA from 1 species
GGGCCCGUACUCGGUUUCGACGGGGGUACGGAAGGGCAGAGAAGCGAGCGGCAGCCCUGGACUGCCUCAUCAACGGGAUUUAAAAUGAACUGACAACUACGAUAACGUAGCUUUCGCUGCUUAAUCAGCGAUCGUCGGCCCUGAGCCUCCUGCGGCGCGGGUCACCGGCGUCAUAAAGGCAGGGAACCAGCCGCCUUAAGCUUUGCGGGCGGUGGGAUUUUAUGAAGCUACUGAAGGGGGAAUCCUGUCUGCGGGAGUCCUCCGGAGGGAAUGUCAAAACACAGACUGCGCUCGGAGAUGCUCUGGUCGUCUGAUCUUCGGACAGGGGUUCGACUCCCCUCGGGUCCACCA